UCCUCUUAAAAUCGAGGCAGUCUUCUGUGAGUCCCCGGCAUAACCCGCUGGUAACACAGAACAAGGGUUGCGCUCGUUGCGGGACUUAACCCAACAUCUCACGACACGAGCUGACGACAGCCAUGCAGCACCUGUGUGGAAUGUCCCCGAAGGGAAAGGUACAUCUCUGCACCCGGCAUUCCCAUGUCAAGCCCAGGUAAGGUUCUUCGCGUACCAUCGAAUUAAACCACAUGCUCCACCGCUUGUGCGGGCCCCCGUCAAUUUCUUUGAGUUUCAGUCUUGCGGCCGUACUCCCCAGGCGGGAUACUUAACGCGUUAGCUACGACACCGGAAGAGUUGAGACCUCCGAUAUCUAGUAUCCAUAGUUUACGGCAUGGACUAC
rnacentral:misc_RNA from 1 species